GGGGCUGACUUAGCUUUCGACGAAGGGAUUUUAACAGAUUAUUCUGCAAAUCGAAUGUACUCGUUAAGUACAAAAUUUAAUUGCAACAUUUACUGCAAAAGCAAAAAGUUUUGUAGCUGAGAUCGCAUCUGCUUUCCAGCCACAAGCUCUAGCAACAGCUCGGGCCUAGCCUGAGCCAUCGUAUCAUACAGGCGACAUAGACUUGGUACGGUGUUAUAAACAUGUCGCUUACUGCCAGGCGGGUAGCAACGCCGGGUCGGGACACUAAUAUUGCGCGACAAUCCAAAACGUUUUUCGUUUGGCUUUUAGUUAGGUUAGUCGUAAAAAUUUAAGACAAACUAUAUUUGUAGACGAAUAAUAGGUUACCUUUCGGACCGGGGUGCGAUUCCCCGCAGCUCCACCA
rnacentral:tmRNA from 6 species